GCCUGGGUGGCUCAGUCGGCUGAGCAUUUGACUUCAGCUCAGGUGAUGGUCACGAUUCUUGGGUUCAAUACCUGCUUCGGGCC
rnacentral:tRNA from 1 species